UAUUUAAAUUUAAAUUUUAAAAAAUUUUAUUGUGACUAUAAGUCUUUAAUAAAAUAUUCUGGCUAAAGCUACUAUUAAACGUAUUAUUAAUAUGAAAUUGACCAACACAGCAUUUAUUUUUUUGAGACAGGGUCUCACUUUGUCACCCAGUCUGGAGUGCAGUGACACAAACAUGGCUCCUGGGCUCAAGCGCUCUCCCACCUCAGCCUCCUGUGUAGCUGGGACCACAGGUGUGUGCCACCAUGCCCAGUGUGAAGAUGUGCUUGGUUUCCUUUCGUCCUUCCACCAUGAUUAUAAGUCUCCUGAGAUUUCCCAGCCAAGCUUCCUGUACAGCCUGCAGAACUUAUAA
rnacentral:lncRNA from 1 species